CUCAGGAUCCGUGGUAUAGAGGUUGUUACCAUGGUAAAGUGGAAAAUGUAACCAUAGCAACUAUAAAUGGCGGUGAUGUGGUUGAAUGUGCCCAAUAUUGUCAUCAACAUAAGUUCAGUUGGAUUGCUAUAAACAAGGGAAGUAACUGUGUCUGUAUUAAUGCUUCAGCAGACCUGACAUCAUUAACUCGAGAUGAGAGAGGCUGCACAACCAGAUGUAUUGGAGAUAUUGGGGAUAUAGGUCUACCAUGUGGUGGACCAGAUGGAGCGUGGAGUAUAUACGAGGCAGACGGACCAUAUAUCCAGAAUGUCGAAGCCUCAG